rnacentral:rRNA from 1 species
CCCUUAGAUGUUCUGGGCCGCACGCGUGCUACACUGAGUGGAUCAGCGGGUCAGGUUGCGCGAAAGCGUUUCCUAAUCUUUAAAUCCGUCGUGAUGGGGAUAGAUUAUUGCAAUUAUUAAUCUUCAACGAGGAAUGCCUAGUAAGCGCAAGUCAUCAGCUUGCGUUGAUUACGUCCCUGCCCUUUGUACACACCGCCCGUCGCUCCUACCGAUUGAAUGGUCCGGUGAAGCGUUUGGACUAUGGUUUUCUGAUGGUCCGCCGUUGGAUUACCGUGGGAAGUUCGUUAAACCUUAUCAUUUAGAGGAAGGAGAAGUCGUAACA